AACGAACGCUGGCGGCAGGCCUAACACAUGCAAGUCGAACGCACCGCAAGGUGAGUGGCGCACGGGUGAGUAACACGUGGGAAUGUAUCCUUUGGUUCGGAAUAACGGUUGGAAACGGACGCGAAUACCGGAUGCGCCCUUAGGGUGAAAGAUUUAUCGCCGAAGGAGCAGCCCGCGUCUGAUUAGGUAGUUGGUGGAGUAAAGGCCUACCAAGCCGACGAUCAGUAGCUGGUCUGAGAGGAUGAUCAGCCACACUGGGACUGAGACACGGCCCAGACUCCUACGGGAGGCAGCAGUGGGGAAUAUUGGACAAUGGGCGCAAGCCUGAUCCAGCCAUGCCGCGUGAGUGAUGAAGGCCUUCGGGUUGUAAAGCUCUUUCGCACACGACGAUGAUGACGGUAGUGUGAGAAGAAGCCCCGGCUAACUUCGUGCCAGCCGCCGCAGUAACAC
rnacentral:rRNA from 1 species